GCGCCCGUAGUUCAGCCUGGAUAGAACGCAAGAUUGCGGAUCUUGAGGCCGCAGGUUCAAAUCCUGCCGGGCGCA
rnacentral:tRNA from 1 species